AGGGAGUUAGUCCAAAACUAAGACCUCUGAUUUCGGCUCAGAAGACCGUGGUUUAAUUCCACGACCCCCUU
rnacentral:tRNA from 2 species